GGUGUAGGCGGUCGGGCAAGUCGGAUGUGAAAGCCCUUGGCUCAACUGAGGAAGUGCAUUCGAAACUGCUCGACUUGAGUAUGGGAGAGGAAGGUGGAAUUCUCGGUGUAGCGGUGACAUGCGUAGAUAUCGGGAGGAACACCGGUGGCGAAGGCGGCCUUCUGGCCCAAUACUGACGCUGACGACCCGAAAGCGUGGGAGCAAACA
rnacentral:rRNA from 1 species